CACUACAGCUUCAUCACCUCUUUCUUUCCUCGAGCCGUCCAGCCAGUGAAAAAGCCUGUCUUCGCUUAGGAGACCCCUCAGACAAGGUCAAUCCAGUUGAAGUUGAUUCUUUUUGCCAGGCUAGUUGCCUUCUUUGGUAGGCCUGUUGAAGAAAAAAGUGAUUAGAUAAUAAUUUUUCGUGCCAGGAGCAGCCGAACAAGUGCCAUCAAGUUACAAGUUUUUUAGGAUAUUUUUCUUUUUGUAAUCUCCUUAUUAUAUAAUAGAAGUGCUAUAUCCUUAAAAUUAUGCUGUCCCCAUGGUAUAACCCCCUGGCAGGACGUGGGCCUCUUUCCCGCUCCUUUUUUUUUUUAAUUGCUCUUUUCUAAUAAGCAACUGCUAAGUGCUUUGCUGUCGGUGCAGCCGAGCCAAUUAGAGUGGCUUUCGAAAAUGUCAGUCUAGUCAAGUUUCCUUACCUGGUGGGGUAAAGCAUGGGAUUCUUCUCAACAGAGCUGAUUCAAUCGGGUACUUUUUCCUUAACUAUUUCCCGCCUUCUUGAGCCAUUUUGAGUGCUUCUCGCAGCUGAGAGGUCUAAGCCCCACCUAUUUACGUGGGGCGGCUAACGAUCAUUCUUUCCCCUGUACUUUACUAAAUAACUGGUGCUCGCGCACCCGCUUUUUCUUGACCUUGCCUUUUAGACCUUGCUUUAGUCCUACUAUCCCUGGCUCUUGAAAUCUUAGACUAUCUUAACUACAAAUACUAAAGGUAAUAAGCAUUCUAUUCUUGACUCUAGAUGAUCUAUUGAGUAAGUCACUCGUUAAGUAAUAAAAAGUAAUAUCACAAGAACCUGUCAUUGUAUUCCCUUUAACUUAUUUUUUGGUACAGCUCGAAGAGACAGAAGAUUAGAGGAGGGCAGAUGAGAUGACACUCAAAGCACUGAUACUCUAAACCCUGGGACUGGUACUUCAAUUGGAUGGGCUAGACCAAGAGAAGAGGGAACUUUCAUUGCAACUUCCAUCGAUCGAGUUUCAGUUGCUUUUUCUGUUGAUCCAGGUGAGAAAGCUUACUUUACUAAGCCAGCCUCUGCUUUUGUCUGUCUCCCAAGGAUAGCUCCUUUGUUUGAGAGCCUUUACACGAGUUCGUUGAUAAGUCGUUUUUUUUCCUCAAAAGACAGUUCCUCGUCUCUGUCGUCGUAUGCUUAACACAUGGUGUUUAGAGGGCCAACUAUAGGGGGUGAGUCCAAAGAAUGUGUGUUAAGCGCAUUUAGCGAUUUAUUC
rnacentral:lncRNA from 1 species